rnacentral:rRNA from 1 species
GACGAACGCUGGCGGCGUGCUUAACACAUGCAAGUCGAACGGAAAGGCCCUGCUUUUGUGGGGUGCUCGAGUGGCGAACGGGUGAGUAACACGUGAGUAACCUGCCCUUGACUUUGGGAUAACUUCAGGAAACUGGGGCUAAUACCGGAUAGGAGCUCCUGCUGCAUGGUGGGGGUUGGAAAGUUUCGGCGGUUGGGGAUGGACUCGCGGCUUAUCAGCUUGUUGGUGGGGUAGUGGCUUACCAAGGCUGUGACGGGUAGCCGGCCUGAGAGGGUGACCGGCCACAAUGGGACUGAGAGACGGCCCAGACUCCUACGUGAGGCAGCAGUGGGGAAUAUUGCACAAUGGGCGGAAGCCUGAGGCAGCAACGCCGCGUGCGUGAUGACGGCCUUCGGGUUGUAAACCGCUGUCGCCUGUGACGAAGCGGGAGUGACGGUAAUGGGUAAAGAAGCACCGGCUAACUACGUG